rnacentral:rRNA from 1 species
GUCUGCGGCCAUAUCGCCCUGACCGUGCCCGAUCCCGUCUGACCUCGGAAGCUAAGCAGGGUCGGGCCCGGUCAGUACCCGGAUGGGAGACCGCCUGGGAACCAUAUUGUAUUUGUUGCUACAGAGG